UUAAUUAGACGCUUGCUGUCCGCUUGACGGGCAGAGGAAAGUCUGGGCAUCAAAUGGCAUCAUGCAAGUUAACGGCUUGUCACGGCGACGUGAAGGACAGUGCAACAGAAAGCAAACCGCCCGUACGGGUAAGGGUGAAACGGCGGAGUAAGAGCCCACCGCACUGCAAGUGAUUGUAGUGGCAAUGUAAACCCCAUGAGAUGCAAGGUUAGCGGUUGAGAUUUAAUGGCGGCCAGUCAACUCGACCCAUACACCGCGUGAGCGUAUCGGCAACGGUACGCCAAGAUAGAUAAGCGUCCUCGACAUAACCCAGCUUACAAUUAACUUA
rnacentral:RNase_P_RNA from 1 species